rnacentral:lncRNA from 1 species
GGCAAAACUAUUUCCUGAUGGUGGUUGCAGAUCGUUCACUUCCUAACAGUGUGUUAGGUUGUGCAUUUAUGUUUUAUUCACUUUUCUGUAUGUUGUUUUAUUCUGCAGGAAAUGAAUGAAAAAGGGAUUCUGCCUCAGCUCUGAGCCCCUCAGAGUGGGGCCAGGGAAGAAGCAGACGGCAACGCCAGGGCAGCUGUCUGGCAGCCUGGAAGGCCUGCGAAGCUUCCUAGGGGUCCGAAGGAGGGUAGACAGGCACGGGGCUCACCACAAUCCUUCGGAUGGAACCACAGGAAGAGAAGAAGCAUGUUUCACCCUGGGCUGGGGGUGCUUCCCAAAGCCACUGGGGCCCUUUUCCCAAGCCCCAGAACUGAGCCCACCUGAACUCAUCUUGAAGGUAGGUAUGUCAGUGAGUCCUCCCAAAGCCUCAGUUUCCCUAUCUAUAAAAUGAGGAAGCAGGACUGCCCCUAGGGCAAGGCCUAGGCCUCCUGCCAGCCCACCCUCACAGACCCAGAGGGCAACGCAGGGUGAGGCGGGGCAGUUUCACUCCCCAGUGCUGUGGCCCCCUUGGUUGAGUGAAAGCACCUCCAGAGCCCUAACCCUAGCCCUGGGAGCCAGGCAAGAGACCCCCACAACGACCAUCAGAGGUCGUGAGGGGUGGCAGGGAGCCUGGCAGGGAGCCAGGCAGGGGCCAGGGUCUAGGCUCAGAGCAGUGAAGGAUAGAUAGGGUCACAUGCCAGUUAGUGGCAGAGGUGGGACUUGAACCCAGGCCUCUGUGAGACUUGGUUCUCUCACCUGUAAAAUGGGUCUACUAGCAGCUGCUUCUCCAAGCAAAUGAUGUCAAGCACCCAGCUCGGCACCUCACAGAUGUGGUCAGUAAAUGGUAAUCCCAACCCUACCCUUAUAUGUGGACUAGAACACUUAUGGCAAGUCUCGGGAGGUCAUGGGAACUCCUCAUGGCUCCUUCUUCAUGCUGGAGGACCACGGCCUGCCCCAUCCCACCCCAACACACUCUUGAAACUGAGGCCCUCGGCCUAGAGCAGCUCACACAGACGUGGACAGCUGUGCUAGCAGGUGCAGAGUCUGGGAGGCGAGGCUGGACCAGGGCCCCAGCUGGGCUUCGGGUAACCACAGGCCUCAACUGUCCAGUUGGCCAGAGGGACCUAUCACCUGGCUCUGGGCCCCAGGAUGCUUUAGCCACUUGAGCCGGCUCCAGGUGACCGUGUAAGUGACAUAAAGCAAAGGUGUCCUGGACUGCACCACUCACUAGCUCAGCACCCCAGGCACCAGGCUGGAAACCACAUCUCGCACCCAAUUCUCCAUUUAAAAAUUUUACAGGAAGGGGCCAGGCACAGUGGCUCAUGCCUGUAAUCCCAGCAC